UGGGGAAUAUUGCACAAUGGGCGAAAGCCUGAUGCAGCAACGCCGCGUGAGGGACGACGGCCUUCGGGUUGUAAACCUCUUUUAGCAAGGAAGAAGCGAAAGUGACGGUACUUGCAGAAAAAGCGCCGGCUAACUACGUGCCAGCAGCCGCGGUAAUACGUAGGGCGCAAGCGUUAUCCGGAAUUAUUGGGCGUAAAGAGCUCGUAGGCGGUUUGUCGCGUCUGCUGUGAAAACCCCGAGGCUCAACCUCGGGCCUGCAGUGGGUACGGGCAGACUAGAGUGCGGUAGGGGAGAUUGGAACUCCUGGUGUAGCGGUGGAAUGCGCAGAUAUCAGGAAGAACACCGAUGGCGAAGGCAGAUCUCUGGGCCGUAACUGACGCUGAGGAGCGAAAGGGUGGGGAGCAAAACAGGCUUAGAUACCCUGGUAGUCCACCCCGUAAACGUUGGGAACUAGUUGUGGGUCCAUUCCACGGAUUCCGUGACGCAGCUAACGCAUUAAGUUCCCCGCCUGGGGAGUACGGCCGCAAGGCUAAAACUUAAAGGAAUUGACGGGGUCAUAGCUGUUUCCU
rnacentral:rRNA from 1 species